rnacentral:lncRNA from 1 species
CAGUCUUCCAACUUUGGACGACGGAAGUAAUCGUCUUGGUAGUUGAACCAACAGCUUGGAUUCCUCAUGGACGCACCCACUUUAUCGUGCCUUGAAGGAAGGAGCUUUUGAAAAUUAAGUGUCAUUUUGCGACCCGCACUAUCAUUAUUGAGGGAGUUUGAGGAGUCACAGAACAAUGCUCCAAGAGAAAGAAAUCUCGGGAUUGUCCUUGGACUCAUCACAUAUCAGGUGAUAGCAAGUUCUGGGGCACAUUUUGCAGGUUGUUUUAGGUGGCUUGAUCGAAUGAGAGUACAAC